GAGUUUGAUCGUGGCUCAGAUUGAACGCUGGCGGCAGGCUUAACAUAUGCAAGUCGAGCGGGGGAGAUUGCUUCGGUAAUUGACCUAGCGGCGAACGGGUGAGUAAUACUUAGGAAUCUGCCUAUUAAUGGGGGACAACAUCUCGAAAGGGAUGCUAAUACCGCAUACGCCCUACGGGGAAAGCAGGGGAUCACUUGCGACCUUGCGUUAAUAGAUGAGCCUAAGUCGGAUUAGCUAGUUGGUGGGGUAAAGGCCUACCAAGGCGACGAUCUGUAGCGGGUCUGAGAGGAUGAUCCGCCACACUGGGACUGAGACACGGCCCAGACUCCUACGGGAGGCAGCAGUGGGGAAUAUUGGACAAUGGGGGGAACCCUGAUCCAGCCAUGCCGCGUGUGUGAAGAAGGCCUUAUGGUUGUAAAGCACUUUAAGCGAGGAGGAGGCUCCUGUAGUUAAUACCUACAGAGAGUGGACGUUACUCGCAGAAUAAGCACCGGCUAACUCUGUGCCAGCAGCCG
rnacentral:rRNA from 1 species